rnacentral:rRNA from 1 species
UACAGAGGUCUCAAGCGUUGUUCGGAUUCACUGGGCGUAAAGGGUGCGUAGGUGGUCAGGUAAGUCUGAUGUGAAAUCUCUGAGCUCAACUCAGAAACUGCAUUGGAUACUAUCUGGCUUGAGGAGUGGAGGGGGGGACUGGAAUACUUGGUGUAGCAGUGAAAUGCGUAGAUAUCAAGUGGAACACCAGUGGCGAAGGCGAGUCCCUGGACACUUCCUGACACUGAGGCACGAAAGCUAGGGGAGCAAACAGG